GGCAUGCUUUACACAUGCAAGUCGAACGGCAGCGGGGUAGUGCUUGCACUACUGUCCGGCGAGUGGCGAACGGGUGAGUAAUAUAUCGGAACGUACCGAGUAAUGGGGGAUAACCAAUCGAAAGAUUGGCUAAUACCGCAUACGUCCUACGGGAGAAAGCGGGGGAUCGCAAGACCUCGCGUUAUUCGAGCGGCCGAUAACUGAUUAGCUAGUUGGUGGGGUAAAGGCCUACCAAGGCGACGAUCAGUAGCGGGUCUGAGAGGACGAUCCGCCACACUGGGACUGAGACACGGCCCAGACUCCUACGGGAGGCAGCAGUGGGGAAUUUUGGACAAUGGGGGCAACCCUGAUCCAGCCAUGCCGCGUGUAUGAAGAAGGCCUUCGGGUUGUAAAGUACUUUUGUUAGGGAAGAAAA
rnacentral:rRNA from 1 species